rnacentral:rRNA from 1 species
AGCGAACGCUGGCGGCAGGCCUAACACAUGCAAGUCGAACGAACUCUUCGGAGUUAGUGGCGGACGGGUGAGUAACACGUGGGAACGUGCCUUUAGACUCGGAAUAACUCAGGGAAACUUGUGCUAAUACCGAAUGUGCCCUUCGGGGGAAAGAUUUAUCGCCUUUAGAGCGGCCCGCGUCUGAUUAGCUAGUUGGUGAGGUAGAGGCGCACCAAGGCGACGAUCAGUAGCUGGUCUGAGAGGAUAAUCAGCCACAUUGGGACUGAGACACGGCCCAAACUCCUACGGGAGGCAGCAGUGGGGAAUUUUGCGCAAUGGGCGAAAGCCUGACGCAGCCAUGCCGCGUGAAUGAUGAAGUUCUUAGGAUUGUAAAAUUCUUUCACCGGGGACGAUAAUGACGGUACCCGGAGAAGAAGCCCCGGCUAACUUCGUGCCAGCCGCCGCAGUAA